rnacentral:rRNA from 1 species
UACGUAGGGACCAAGCGUUGUUCGGAUUUACUGGGCGUAAAGCGCGCGUAGGCGGCUUUGCAAGUCGGGUGUGAAAUCCCCAGGCUUAACCUGGGAACUGCAUUCGAGACUGCAUUGCUAGAGUAUGGGAGAGGGAAGUGGAAUUUCCGGUGUAGCGGUGAAAUGCGUAGAUAUCGGAAGGAACAUCAGUGGCGAAGGCGACUUCCUGGACCAAUACUGACGCUCAUGUGCGAAAGCGUGGGGAGCAAACAGG